UGAUUCCCUAAACAUUACAUCUGCGUUCCCUAGCAACAGAUGGGUUUAUUCAGUACGUUCUUACUGGGAUGUAACAUAUUACACAGGUUAAAUCAUAAAAUAAUGUUCUCAUCAAUUAUUACCCAACAAAUAAGUGUCUUUAUAUACACCUUAAUAGUUUUCAUCUCAGUUCACUUUAUACAAAGUCUAUUCAUUUCUGAUGCACUUUUACACCCCAGUUUCAUACAGAAAGUUUAUAUUUGAUAUAGCAACCUGACCGUACACAUAGAUACCAUAAAUAUAAACAUCACCUAUAUAAACAACAAUGUCAGUAUUAUUGGAAACCAUCUAUUACAUUCCUUGAAACAUUCCUAAAAAUAUGCAAAUAAUUAAUAUUUUGUAAUUGAUAAUCUUGAUAUAGAACAAGUUCAAUAUUAACAAAACACGUGUUAUUGCUAAAGAUAUACUGUGUUGCUGUAAGACAGGAAAGCAGCUUCACACAACUUCUUGUAUUCUUAGAUUACCCUUGGCAACAAAAAAAUGUUUUAUUCAUUUAAUUAUUCACAAGCCAAAUAUAAACACUGUCUUUCGUUACCAAAACAACUACUGAAUAAAGGAUUAAAUAAUUAUAUUGAAAAAGUAUAUUGCAAAACCCUAUAAUUAUUCUAUGGGAUCGCCUAAUUACAUUAAGAAAAACAAAAUGCAUGGGGCACAAGUUAAGCAAAGUUGAAGGCAAUAAUUAAAUUUUAGAGCAGCACACAUUUUAGUUAUAUUUGAAAAUGCAUCUGCUUUCACUCCAUAUUAAAUAAAAGACAAAACCAUUCUACUUUCGAAAUUCAAAUUCACAAAACUUUGAGAACAAAACAUUUGUCAUAAGUGCAGAGUUAAAUUGUAUAAAGGGUCAUUAAUUAUCAAACUGUAUCACUUUUCACCGUAUUCAGCUAAUUUGACAAAAUAUAAAAGGCUGCUAUGUGCAAAAGUCUUUUUCUCUCCUGACUUUGUUCUUUUGAUUUUUUAUAGAUCAAAGGGAAAAAAGGGGUAAAGAAAAAUUGGCAGGCAAAGAUAUACAUUGUUCUAGUGACAAGAUGACUAUCCUAAAGAGAAUGCAUGCUCCUUGCAAGUGGCUGUAAAGCAAGGGAAAAACUCACUUUUCAGUCCUUGCUACACAUUGUCUUAGAGGGGUCUGUCCAUACAGUAUGUUGUCAUGGCAACGCAACCUGCUGUUGCACCAAAGUUUAAACACUGAAUGGUUGAAGUGACUGGCGUUAGCCACUGCAGAAUAAACAAUAUUUUGAUUCAUUGGAGAAAAAGAAGGUUAAAAAAAACAAAAAAGAAAAAAAAAACAGUGCAUGAAUGCUUUCAUUGUCCAAGCUUUUCUGAAUCUGAUUUACCAUAUCAUAACCCCUAGGAAGAAGAAAACAUCAAUAUCCCUAAGGAAUGGAGAUGUUUCUAUGGAAAACCUAGGAAUUUUAGUCCAUAACAGAUCUGGUGUAAAAAUCAAAGAGAUCAAAGGCAGAGCUCCCGGGAGUAUAGAUGCGUUUCUGAAUUAAAGAUGUACUAUGUAAGACUACAAAGUACCUCUCUCUUUAUAUGGGCUUCUAUUCAGUUUCAAGCAAAGGCUGUCCCAACGUCAUAUCUGAAACAGACAGACAGCAUUGUACAUGUCUGCCAAGGUAGAUAAAAUGAAAAUUGAGAGUCAGUUUUUUUUUUCUGAAAGCAUAAUUGAUUAGAAACUUAUUUCAAGUACUUAAUUUUGGUUGACACCCUAGCAACUGACAGAAGUCCUGUGUUAAGAGCACAAACCACAAUCCUGAUGGAGAGGGGUCUGCACAACACCUUUCCAGGAUUUUUGAUGAUUGGAAAGGUCAAAAGAUGCUCAGGUGACAUCAUCAAUGCUAAUUAAAUGCAGUGUGCAAUCUUAUAUAUAUAUCUUUAGAACACCGUUUACAGCCAAUUCAUAAUAGGUGCAGACUAUUUUAUUUAUUUAAAUCAUGCUGGAUAAAAUUUAUAUGAAUCCAGACUAACAUAUUAAUAGUUUAUAAUUAUUUUUGAACAUUUUUAUUUUCUUAAAAUUAGUAGUAAAUACCAAGUUUUGUUUUCAAUUCUGACCAGUUGAGUGUUUUGAAGCUAAAAUCUAAAUGUUCAACGUUAGUUAAUAAGAAACCUGUAUUAUAUUCCAAAUAUAAUAAAUUAUAUCAACGCAUCCAAUGCCAGAGGAGUGGAUGUGAACAGGAAGGGGUUAAUGCUUGGAUGCCAAUGGGAGCUGUAGAUCAGCAUAGGCCUGCCAGAAAAAAAAACAGGUUAUGCAGGACAGAAAAUAUAUUUGAAAAGUUUGGACAAUUGUUAAAUAAAUACAAAAAAUAAAUCAAAUAAAAUAAAACAAACAAACAAAUAAAUCUCCAAAUGAAAAGAAAGAGAUUGUUUCAAAUGUGGCUGUUUUAGACUACAUUUUGCAACUAGUCAGUGAAUCAACCCCUAAUUUAUCCUAGCCUACAAAGAAGGAUAUUCGAUUUGUGUAAUAAUUUAAAUACAUACUUUGGAAUAUUUUUUCAUCUGCCACCAGCUUGAUAUCUGCACUCCUGUCUAAUUACUUGGUUUCAUUUUAUUUUUAUGAUUCUGUAAAAUAAUUUAUAAUUAAGGCUACAUGGUAGCUAUGAGUCACUCCCCAUCUGCAUACACAGUAAUAUACUAAUAAAUAGUAAGGGUUGAUAUUACAACAGUCUUCAUCUGCAUAAAUAAUCUAUAAUAGCUAAUAUGGAGAUACAAAACUGCAGAAGCAAGACUGAUACUGCUACAAGUAGAUCAUUUAUCAAAAUCCUGUCCAUUUUACAUAUUAUUCUUUUAAUUGUUUUGCUAUGCUAUGCGUAGCAUGGGGCCCUGAGAAGGAUAUAUAUCAGGCCAGCAUUGUACAGACCUACGCCAUGUUUGGAAGGAGUUAGGUAAUGCAGAAUUCUUUUGGGAACUCUAAAAGUAAUAUUUAUAUGCAAUAAUUAAGGAAAUUACAUUUUGACAACUAAAUUGUUGCUACCCAUUGUUGAUCUUCUUAUUUUGUUUUCUGGAGCAGAAUAUUAGUCUCUAUGAGACUAGUUGGCUGGCCAAGAGUGUUAUUAAGUAUAGCCCAGCAGCAAUGGAAGAGCCACAAAUGGGUGAAUUAUACUGAUGACUUAUAAUGCUCUUAAAUUAAUAUAUAACUUGUACACAUAUGCCCAAAAAUCAUUUCUUCUUCUUUUCUAAUAGGACAAUAAUAGGACAUGUUUAUGAAGAUCAAGUUGAUAGUACAUAUGCGUGGUGACUUUUUAAUAACAUUCUUUUCAUUUUAAGAUGUAUCUACCUAAAAAAUAUAUAUUAUAAUUAUUAUUUUGAGAUGAAUGUGAAAUGCCACUAUAUUCUUUAUAGCUGAUCAAAAAAAGGACACCCCCCAAAAAACCCAAAACAAGAAAAAACAAAAACAAAACAAAAACCUUUUGUUACAUAAGUCUGCCAGGCUUCCUUACUCACACAAAAAACAGCUGUGAAUGAGACAACCUCUUCAGGAAGGAGUGCUUGAAUGAAGUGUAUUCAGCAAACAAUAAUUCUAUUAUUUAAUGGCACAAUCAGUCUACACCUUGAGAGUGGCAGCGUUUGUGCCACCGCACCAGUGUAUAGAAAGCACUGAAACCCAGUUACUGCAAGGCAUGACACAUCAUCUUACAAGAAGUGCAACUUACUUUCCAAGAACAGAAGAUUAGAAGAUGGGAUACGUGCAUCAAGCUUCUUGUAAAUAAAGGAUCAGAAAAGUAUUAGUCACAUAGACAUGGGUGUCAUGCAUAGAAACAAUGACAGACACUACAGACAGGACAGUCAUUCUAAAUAAACCAUGUCUUUGAUGACUCAGGGAGACUAGGGACAGAAAAGACCCUCGAUGAGUCACAAAGAAUUAAUAUUCAGGAUUGGGCCCAAUACAGAGAUAUACCUUGAAGUCAGUCAAUGACUGCCAUUAUAGCUGUUAAUUGUAAAUCACAAAUUGUGGUAUUCAUUUUCAUGUGAUGGUACUUUUUAUUUCAAAUCUACACCAGUGUGAAUAAAACAUUGAACAUCGCCUAUCACUUAACAUUAAACAUUUCUUAUGAGACUCUCCAUUUUUUUUUAAAUUUAUAUUACGGAUUUAGAAAAUCCCAUCAUUAUCCAGUUCAGACAAAGCAACACUAGGACAAAAAUUGCAAAUGAAGAGGUAAAUAGAAACAUUGUUUAUCUUCUCUGUACAAUUUUGAUGCAGAUUGCCAGGUGUAAAGAACAGACUUUGUAACAAUGAUUGACGGAAAUACAUAUUUGUUACAUAUACGGAUAAUGACAUUUCUCUUUAAAAAAAUAAAAAAGUGACAUCACAACUAGUUCAGUUCAGACACAAAUAGAGCACUCAUUGUAAUGGAGAAGGAGAAACAAAACUAUUAUUUAUUUUUUCUUUCUCUGCUCUCUCUAUGACUGUGAGGGGCAAAGAACAAAACAAUGAUUGACAGUAAACAAAGAUGAAGGUGCUCAGUUCCAGGAUGGAAGCAUAUACACUGAUCAGCUUCAACAUUAAAACCACCUGCCUAAUAUAAUGUAGGUCCUGCUCGUGCUGUAAAAAAUAUCAAGGCAAAACAAGACCACUGAACGUAUCCUGUGGUAUCUGGUACCGAGACAUUAGCAGCAGAUCCUUUAUUUCAUGCAAGUUGUGAGGUGAGGCUUUCAUGCAUCAGAUUUGUUGUUCCAGUACACCACACAGAAGCUCAAUGGGAUGAAAUAUGGGGAAUUUGGAAGCCAAGGCAACACCUUGAACUCUUUGUCAUGCUCCUCAAACCAUUCCCGAACAGUCUUUGCAGUGUGGCAGGGUGAAAGAGGCCACUGCCAUUGGGGAACACAAGGGGUACAUGGUUUGCAACAAUCUCUAGGUAGGUGGUACGUGUCAAAGUAACAUCCACAUGAAUGCCGGUAUUCUUCCCAUAAUGCAUCUUGUUGCCAUUUAUUCUCCAGAUAAAACUAUGCACACUUCCCCGGCCAUCCACCUAAACUAAAAGAAAAUGUAACCAGGCAACUUUCUUCCACUGCUCUGUGGACCAGUUAUAAUGCUCACAUCCACAAUGAAGGCUCUUCCAGCACUCUGGCUCAUGGGCACUCUGACUGUUCUGUGGCUAAACGGCCCCAUAUGCAGAAAACACUGAUGUCCAAAAACCUUUCUAUUAUGACCAUCACUAGCUUUUUAAGUAAUUUGUGCAACAGUAGCUCUUCUGUGUGAUCGAACCAGACGGGCUAGCCUUUGCUCCCCAUGUGCAUCAAUGACCCUUGGGCACCCAUGACUAUGAUUCCACACUUUUGGUAGGUACUUAGCACUGCAUACUAGAAAAACCCCACAACACGUACUGUUUUGGAGAUGCUUUGACCCAGUCAUCUAACCAUCAUCAUUUGGCCCUUGUCAAAGUCACUCAGAUCUUUUUAGUUGCCCAUUUUUCCUGUUUCCAAAACAUGGAAUUCAAGGCUGUUCACUUGCUGUCCAAUAUAUUACAUAGCUUGACAUGUGCCAUUGUAAUGAAAUAAUCAAUGUUAUUACUUCACCUGUCAAUGGUGUUAAUGUUGUGGCUAUCCAGUGUAUGAUUGUAUGAAUAUUUAUAUUUAAUUUCAUUUUAAGACCUCACAAACACUUAUUUGUUAAAUAUAGGUGAUAAGUCAACAUAACACAAAACAUUCUGGGAUGUGACAGUUCCCUACAAUUCAGGCCAAUAGGUAAUAGAACACUAAGCAUUUUACACAGAGCUGAUGUUUAUUGGACAGUGAUGUUUUGUUUUGCCUACUCUACUAUUCCAAUGACUUCUUCAAACAUUGAGUGAAUGCAUAUAUAUGUUUGAUGAAUUUAAUCAACUUAUUGAAAUUCCAAUGGCCUUACAAGAUAUACUUAAAGCAAAGUAGAUAUUAUGUUGCCUUACUUAAUUGCAAAUCCUUGGCAAAAGGCAUCAUCUUGUGUGAUGUCCAGUAGAUGCCUCCACAUACAACAUUUUGCACUCUUACACGUGUAUGAGAGUAUAAUAGUGAUGAUGAAAUUACUAAGAGCUGGAAAAGUAUGGUGGCAAUAAGAUGGCAGUGCCGAGGAAGGGCAGCUUAAGGUAAGAACAUCUUCUUAAUGGCUCCCUGUGACGAAAGAGACUUCGCCUCUGGGUUUUGGAGGGGACUACUUGCCAGCCCUUUACCCUGUGACUAUGGCCCCUUUAAUUUAUUGUGGUUGAGAGACCCUAUUUGUGCCUAUUGGGACUUUAAACAAUUGUUCUUCGAACUUUCAAAGUGGUUCGAGGUGCCACUUUGAACCACCGAACAGCCGGACCAAACACAAGUGAAGUGUGCAGCCUAUUUACCUCCCAAGCUGGUAGUUAACCACAGUCAAAUUGACUAACGGCUGGGUGGGCGCCGUUCGUAUAGUCGAACACGUGGCGGCGGCCAACUUGUUUAGUCGAAUGUGUUCAGCUGGGUUUUGUGGUCGAAUUCAUGGAACUCAAACCGGACAUGUGAGGGCAUGAACACUGCUGAACUUCCAUGGAACUUCGGCUAUUUGAACAGAAGUCGAAUGGAGUUCGGUGAACAGAAACCCACGAACAAGGGACACACAUUGACUAUGGUCAUUUACCACUCCGUUCGGUAAUUUGAAUGGUACUUUGACAUUUUAAAAUAGACUUCCAGGAAUUUCCUGAACCCCUGCUCUGAUCUGGUGAUUUUUGGAUAUGUUGUUCACCCAGAUCAGGGCUAUCAAGGGAUAUGUUGUAUUUUGGGUUACUUAUUGGACUUUGUAAAAAUGUGGUUUUUUUCUGCCUGGGAAUAAUUAAGUUAAUGCAUUAUCUGCUUUAAUUAUAUCACAGGCAGAGGGAAGGGAUUGUAUACUGUAUGUGGGAGUGUCAUUCAUUGUCACAUUGUUUUUAUUGGCUUGUACACUUUGUGUCCCUGUGCCCAACAAGGUCCACCUGGGCGUUACCCUUGUUGGGAAACUUGCAUAAAAGGCCAGUGUGCUUCCAUUAAAAAGGGAGUUCCUGUUUUACCCUCAACAAGUAGCCUUGUCUCGUGAUUGGAGGGGAACUGCUAUAUCACUACUAGCUCUUGUAAAAGCUGUUCCUGCUACACUCUCUGGAGUAGGAGAUAUCUUUCCCACAUGGUCCUGGAUGUCAGAGGUUGAUGCAGGGUGAAAGGAAGAUGGCAAGAUUCCAGUUAAGCUAUGGUGGUUGUGGAGUCUGCAGUGCUUGUGGUGUCCGGUGCGGUGCUUAUGGUCCUUAGCGUCAGCUAGGAAGCAUCUGUUGGCGGAGUGCCAGGUGAUCUGUCACACUCACUUUGAUGUCCUCACCAGCAAACAUAUCACUUUGUUGGGUCUUUCAAUAAAUGAAAAGAACCCAAAAGUGACAGUUCCACUUUAAAUACGCAGUCUAGAAUUUCACAAGUGAACUGUUUAUUAAAAUGUGACUUGCCAAUUGACCUUUUGAAAAGAAUUCCUUAAAAACAUUAAUACAAGUAUGUUCAAGUAGACUGUUAAAUGACAGCGUAUGAAAAAAUGUGACAUUACUUGGCCAUCUAGCGGACAAUUUAAAGAGGAACUGUCACUCCUGUGCAAUUUACAUAGAAACAUAGAAACAUAGAAACAUAGAAUGUGACGGCAGAUAAGAACCAUUCGGUCCAUCUAGUCUGCCCAAUUUUCUAAAAACUUUCAUUAGUCCCUAGCCUUAUCUUAUAGUUAGGAUAGCCUUAUGCCUAUCCCACGCAUGCUUAAACUCCUUUACUGUGUUAACCUCUACCACUUCAGUUGGAAGGCUAUUCCAUGCAUCCACUACUCUCUCAGUAAAGUAAUACUUCCUGAUAUUAUUUUUAAACCUUUGUCCCUCUAAUUUAAGACUAUGUCCUCUUGUUGUGGUAGUUUUUCUUCUUUUAAAUAUAUAGUCUCCUCCUUUACGGUGUUGAUUCCCUUUAUAUAUUUAAAUGUUUCUAUCAUAUCCCCCCUGUCUCGUCUUUCCUCCAAGCUAUACAUGUUAAGAUCCUUUAACCUUUCCUGGUAAGUUGUAUCCCGCAAUCCAUGAACCAGCUUAGUAGCCCUUCUCUGAACCCUCUCUAAGGUAUCAAUAUCCUUCUGAAGAUACGGUCUCCAGUACUGUGUACAAUACUCCAAGUGAGGUCUCACCAGUGUUCUGUACAAUGGCAUGAGCACUUCCCCUCUUUCUACUGCUAAUACCUCUCCCUAUACAACCAAGCAUUCUGCUAGCAUUUCCUGCUGCUCUAUUACAUUGUCUGCCUACCUUUAAGUCAUCAGAAAUAAUCACCCCUGAAUCCCUUUCCUCAGAUGUUGAGGUUAGGACUCUAUCAAAUAUUCUGUACUCUGCCCUUGCAUUUUUACGUCCAAGAUGCAUUAUCUUGCACUUAUCCACAUUAAAUGUCAGUUGCCACAAUUCUGACCAUUUUCUAGUUUACCUAAAUCAUUUGCCAUUUGGUUUAUCCCUCCUGGAACAUCAACCCUGUUACAUAUCUUAGUAUCAUCAGCAAAAAGACAUACCUUACCAUCAAGACCUUCUGCAAUAUCACUAAUAAAAAUAUUAAAGAGAAUGGGUCCAAGUACAGAUCCCUGAGGUACCCCACUGGUGACAAGUCCAAGCUUCGAAUAUAUUCCAUUAACUACAACCCUCUGUUGCCUGUCACUCAGCCACUGCCUUACCCAUUCAACAAUAUUGGAAUCCAAACUUAAAGAUUGCAGUUUAUUGAUAAGCCUUCUAUGUGCAACAGUGUCAAAAGCCUUACUGAAAUCUAGGUAAGCAAUGUCUACUGCACCACCCUGAUCUAUAAUUUUAGUUACCCAAUCAAAAAAAUCAAUAAGAUUAGUUUGGCAUGAUCUCCCUGAAGUAAACCCAUGUUGUCUCUGAUCUUGAAAUCCAUGUGUUUUAGAUGUUCAUCAAUCCUAUCCUUUAACAUGGUUUCCAUCACUUUCCCCACUACUGAAGUAAGGCUUACUGGCCUAUAGUUGCCCGACUCCUCCCUAUUACCUUUCUUGUAAAUGGGCACAACAUUCGCUAACUUCCAAUCUUCUGGGACUACUCCUGUUAACAAUGAUUGGUUAAAUAAAUCUGUUAAUGGUUUUGCUAGUACACCACUAAGCUCUUUUAAUAGCUUUGGGUGUAUUGAAAAUAAUACUGAAAAUCACCUAUAAUUUGUGACAACCGUUUUCUUUUACAUUUUUAUUAAUGAUUUAGAAAAUUACAUCAUAAUCCAGUUCUGACAAGGCAAAGCCAGGGCAAAAACUUGCAAAGGAAGAGGAGAACUAGAAACAUGGUUUAACCUCUUCACUUCUCUGUGUGCUUUCUUUAUUCUCACUGCCAGGUGCAAAGGACGGAGCUUAUAACAAUAAUUGUCUAAAGAGCAAAGAUGGUGGAGCUCAGCUGAAGGAUAAAGAGAUGUGAAUUUCUCAACUGAAUUUUUUUUUUCACAUCUCACAAUUUAGGAUGAGUAAAUAUAAUAUUAAAAAUCCAGGGAAGUAACUGUUCCUCUUUAUAGAAUACUUGAUGUUUAUUUGAUCUAUUGCAACUAGUAAGUAGACUACAUGCCCCAAAGGGAAUUACCAAAUAAAUAGUUUCCAGUAAUAUGCUAUCCCAUAGAUAGGGAAGGUCCAGGUUUUCAUUAGACCCAAACAGGAUUAUAUAUAAAGAAUACAAACCGAUCAAUAGUGUUAGCUUAAGGGAAAUAUUAUAUGGAAUGAAUUUUGUGACAGAUAUUCACGCAAUACAGUUUGUAGUUUACAGAAAAUUGUCCUAUCAACAAAACCAUCCACAAGGCAGUAGUUGUCUUGGUGAACAUCUUUGUCAAUAAAAGAGGUCAGACAAGAACAUUCAAAGAAUAUGACAGAAAAAUCACAAAUGAUCAAACAGCCCUUUCUUUGAAAUAGUGGUGACCAAAAUCUCUAAACCCAUCAAAACCAUUGCAAGAGCAAAUGGGAACUUAAAUUGACCUUUAUGAGCUAAAUUACCUUACCAUUGGUUAGUACUGCUGCACAUAAGUUAGCAUAAGUACAUUGUGUGGCAUGAAGGAGAUAUAAAAGAAAUUGCCUGCUAUGAAAGUUGUCCAAAUGGCAAAUGGCAAGUACAGAAAACCAAGAUAAAAAAGUGUGCAGAUGGGAAGAGUCACCCUUAUGGGACCUUGAACCAGAAAACUGUGAGUUUAUAAGAAAUGGAAAGUGUCUGGUAGACAAAAAGCCGGUCAUUAUUUAUAAUUGUACAUAAAAGAUGGAGCCUAUUUUAAUCUCCUUUAUUAAGAUCUAGAACCUGAAGGCCAUAUCUUUCACAAUGUUAUAUCAGAGCAUGUUUGAGCUCUACCACAAGUGAGCUCUAUAAGGAUCAUACUCUUGUAUAUAUGUUAUUUAUAUAAUUUGUUUAUUAUUUUCAAAUGUAUUAUUUCUUCCUUACAAAGCUUAGUGCGUACAGCUUUAGGUAAUCAUUUUUAUAGUUACUUUGUGGUGAAACAAUGGCUGUUUUUUCUGGAUGCACCAUUGUGUCCUCAGCUAAAUCACAGGAAAUUGGGUCUGUUAGCAAAAAUACAUAUUAUUCAUACUUUAGAACAUUUAGAAAUGUAUUCAUUUUUGGAUAAAUUGGAGAUUUCAUUUUCUUACACUAUGCUAUUUUACAAGUCUGUUCUCAAAUUUAAAUAAUUCCCACUUUAUAGAAUAAACUAGCUCCAUUGUGAAAUUAUGUGUUUUUGAUGUUAAAAAAAUGUCAUUGUUCUUUUUCACAAAUUUUAUCUAUAAGAGUUCAUCAAAUAUACCAGAUCUUGCAUUAAGGACUAGCUUGCGUACACAAGUCAUUGAUGAAAUGCUGCCUGAUGAUAUGUAACGUAUUUCCUAUAUUUGUAUGUAUAUGACUUUAAUGGACCCAAGCAGGGCAAUUCACUGCAAUAGGUAAGUUUACAAAUUGAAAAAAUUUUGUAGACAGAAAGGGAUUCUGUAGGGUCUGUGGAUCUAUUUCAAAAUAUUUCCCAGUUCAACUAGUUUUGCCUACAUUUUUCAAGCCUGUUGCCAAACACCCAGGCCUGUUAAAUACUGCUGUUGUACAACUUGACCUUCAGGAAAACUAAUAUUUCCUAUUGUUCACCAGUUCCCCAAAACAAGUAAUUGUUCCUUGGUUCUGACAUAUAUACUUAUAUUUCAAUAUUACCAAAAUACAUUUUUUUAUAUAUAAUUUAUUUCAUAAAUCCUUAAAACCAAUAAGCAGUUGGUUUAGUUGUCUUUUCAAUGCUCUAGUUGUAACAAUAGCAAAUCAUGUCUGUUCAAUAUAUAAAAAAAUAAACAAAAGAAUAAAUGUAACAAAUGAAACCAACAAAACAUAGAAUUAACUGCAUUGUUGGCUCUUAUGAUGAUGAAUGAUUUGGAUCUGCAUUUCACAGCUCUGUUGAAAUAAAGUGUUUCUUUCUUUUAAUGAUUGAUUUACAUUAGGUUUUUGGUGCUUAAUAUUACUGUUUUACACUGUAUUAAAUGCUCAGACUAAAAAAUAUACAUAAAUAAAUAAAUAAAAUAAAUGAAUAAAAGAAAGUGAGUUCAGCUCUAUAUAAUAUAAUCAUGUCUAUUUCGAUGUAAUUUUAUCUCAGGCACAGGAUGACACAGCAUCUCAAGUUUUCAAAGUUGUAAAAGUUAUAUUAAUGGGAAAUAAAUAGAAUUUGGUUUGUGUGCAUUAGAACAAAUGAUUGAUAUUAGAUAGGUUACAUAAUACAAUUUCUACAGACAAUAUAACAGAUUUCAGACACCCAUUGCUGGUGUAUAGAGAUUAUCUAAACAGACACAGUAACUAAACCGAAUGUUACAAAUUGCAAAUCCGAGGGCUCUGUUCUGCAAACGUUUAUACUGCAUUGCAAAUUUUAAUUAACAUAGGUUAAAAAUGUGAGAUUUUUUUUACUCCCAAUUCUGUUGUUUUGCAUCAAUGUUGCAAGUCUCUUGGCAUCUCACCUUAGUUCAAGGUAUAUAGGAGUUAAGCCCUACAUGCAUCUAUUAAUAAAACGAAUAUCUUUGUCCUUGAGAUCUGUGUGGAUGCUCCCACUAGUAUCAUUUAUCAGUUACUUAAAACAAAACACAGUAGUAUUCAUUUUUAACCAUCUGAGGGUGAGUUCGUUUUUCCAACUAUUUAACGAGGUUUAAAGAUAUUGACAGUCCUGUAAAUAAAGAUAUUUAAAAACUGAUAAUAAAUCUAAUGCACUAAGCAUAUUCUAUUACUAUAUUGUAUGUAUGUACUAUUCAACCUGCUCUAGAUUUUGACUAUGUUUUCAAUUGGCAACCUGUUUGUUUAAGGAAUAUGAUACAAAAUCAUCUUAAUUAAUUUUACCCCAGCUAACAUGUCAGAUUCCAUUACUUUAUAAUCAAAUUAAUUACAGAAAUUAAUAAAGAGAAAUUGAGCACACAAGCUCUUUCUUCAAAAAUAAUAAAUUGCAAAGCAGCAUUUUAUUAAAACAAUAUUAGAAUUUAUAAGGCUCCAUUAAAUGUCAUAUUCUUGUGUAGAAAUAACUUAGAUUGCAGUGGGAAGGAUAAUUAAAGAGAUAUUAUAGUAGCUGUUUGUAAAUCUGUCUGUAUCUGUAUGUCUGUCUGUUUGUCUAAUCUAUCUGUCUGUCUAUCUAUCUAUCUAUCUCUGUAUCUCUCUCUCUCUCUCUCUCUCUCUCUCUCUCUCUCUCUCUCUCUCUCUCUCUCUCUCUCUCUCUCUCUCUCUCUCUCUCUCUCUCUCUCUCUUCUCUCCUGUCUAAUUUCCAGCCUGUAUUCAGUCCCUGUCUGUCUGUUUGCCUGCCUUUCUUUCUGUCUGUCAAUGCUCGAACAUGUUCCUGAACUACCAAAUCUAUUCACAGCAACAAUCAUUAUCAACACACUACAUGCCACUGUUAAAGUUGUUUUAUUGUCAACAAAAUAAAAAAGAGGAAAUAGAAUAGAAAAGUAUAUUAGAAAAGUCAAUUAAGCUGUUUGGAAACUCAUGCAGAAACGUGCUUGGUCUGUGCUCUUUAAAAAGAAAGCCAAUUAAAAUGGUUUGAUAAGCAUAUGUAUUAGAAACAAGCCUAACACAGGGGUCAGAAACAACACUAAGUAAACAGAGUUGACAGAAGAGAGGAUUUUUUGUUGAGCAGACCCAGCUGUCCCAACCUCCCAUUAUCCUUAUAAGACUAGCAGCAUGUCCCCUGCUGCCCCCCUCACCAACUCAAUGCACAAAAACAGAUUGGGAUGUUCUGCAUGCGUGGACAUCACUGCAACUUUACUUUUUCUUACUGCCAUUUCUUUAUGAAUCAAGGAUGUCCAGACAUUUUUUUUUGUAGGUAACAAAGCCAGGCUGUAAAACAGAAGGAUAAAGAAAGAAUACAACAACAAAAAGUAUGUCACUGACAAAAGGCUAGGAAGUAGAAAACAGAAAUAAAAGUCAGUGCAAGAAUUAUCCUGUUAGACACUGCUUGUUUUUGUCUAGAUUUGUCUUUGAGUACGGUUGGAUGUAUCAUGGAGAAGAACAAGUGCAGUCUCACACAUACUUUGCCAGGGCAAAUGGCUCUUUUAACCUACUUUUGACAUGGGGAGAUUUGUAGCUCACAGUUUAGCUUAAACUUCUCCCUUGGAAGAAUACAUAAAACGAAUAAUAAAAUAUAUAUAUAUAUAUUAUUUAAAAAAAAAACAACAACAUUUUAAUAUAUAUAUAUAUAUAUAUAUAUAUAUAUAUAUAUAUAUAUACAUCUAUAUACAAACACACACACACUCCUGUUUGUUUCCUGUUCCUUAACACAAACACACACUGUUUAGUUAACAUGCUCCUAGUCAUUUCUAUGAGAAACAUUUUUUCAUAUAAAAAAUAUUUUUAUUCCAUGACCACAACAUCAACAUUUUUUGUCAUAUAAUAAUAAUAAUAAUAAUAAUAAUAAUACAAAAACAUAAAAAAAAGGUAUUGUGGUGCAUACAUCAGACAAGUUUUUUUUAAAUUUUUUUUUAACUCUGGACCCAUAUUUUAAAAAUAUUUCAAUGAAUGUAAGCACGUGGGUAAUUCUGAUUGUAAUUUAUCACUGGAUGGAUUUUUGAUACCCGAAAUAAAAUAAAUAUAAAUAAACAGACCAUAUUUCCAAGGCUUGCUGCUAUUGUUUUUUUUUUAAUAAAAGUUUGCUUUGUGAAUAAAUGUGGGCUGUAGGCUCUUGUUGGGUAACAUGAGGUUAAUUUAUUGUGUUGGAACGUUGGGUAAAUACAUUAAAUCUGGUUCGUUCCCACAGUAUCUUGACACACGUGGUUUGGAUAAAUUAUUGGAUGUCACGAGGCACUCAAGAAAUCAAG